AGCAUUUUAUCAUUUAUCAACAAUGAAAGUGUUUAUUUUGGUGUUAUACAAUUAUAACCCAUCAUUGUGACCUUGAACCGCUGUAUUGUGUCACAUUUAUGACACGUAAUCAUUUGCCUCUUUAAGCAAAGUGCUCCCUGAUGCAACAACUUCCUUUAGGAAGAUUGCAGAAGUGAUUUGAAUAUAGUUAAUGGUUUACUUAAUUGGAGGCUGAAAGUUUGGCCUUAAAUAGGUGGAA
rnacentral:misc_RNA from 1 species